UACGGAGGGUGCGAGCGUUAAUCGGAAUUACUGGGCGUAAAGGGUGUGUAGGCGGUUGGCUCAGUCGGAUGUGAAAGCCCCGGGCUUAACCUGGGAACUGCAUUCGAUACUGGUCGACUAGAGUACGGUAGAGGGUAGUGGAAUUUCUGGUGUAGCAGUGAAAUGCGUAGAUAUCAGAAGGAACACCGGUGGCGAAGGCGGCUACCUGGACCGAUACUGACGCUGAGGCACGAAAGCGUGGGGAGCAAACAGG
rnacentral:rRNA from 1 species